GUUCACUGGCAGAACAUAUACUAAAAUUGAAUGAUAUAGAGAAGAUUAACAUGGCUCCUGUGCAAGGAUGACACAUAAACUCGUGAAGCGUUCCAUAUUAAA